rnacentral:rRNA from 1 species
UCAAGCUAAAAAGAGCGCAAGGGGAAUGCCUUGGCAUCAGGAGCCGAAGAAGGACGUGACAAGCUGCGAUAAGCUGCGGUGAGGAGCAAAUAUCCUUUGACCCGCAGAUCUCCGAAUGGGGCAACCCGGCUGGACAAUAUCCAGUCAUCCUGCAUUGAAUCAAAUAGGUGUAGGAAGGGAACCGUCUGAACUGAAACAUCUAAGUAGGACGAGGAAAAGACAUCAACCGAGAUUCCGCAAGUAGUGGCGAGCGAACGCGGAGGAGGCCAAACCGGAGGAAUAAUUCUCCGGGGUUGCGGACAGUCAUUUAGCAGAAGAUAUCUAACCGAAGGGUCUGGGAAGGCCCACCACAGAGGGUGAGAGUCCCGUAGGUGAAAGAGAAGGCUGUGAGACUGAAUCCAGAGUACCGCAGGACACGUGAAACCCUGCGGGAAACAGGGGGGACCACCCUCCAAGCCUAAAUACUACCUGAUGACCGAUAGAGGAGCAGUACCGUGAGGGAAAGGUGAAAAGGACCCCGGGAGGGGAGUGAAAGAGAACCUGAAACCUUGUGCUUACAAGCAGUCAGAGCGCGUUAAAGCGUGAUGGCGUACUUUUUGUAGAACGGUCCGGCGAGUUAUAGUAACGAGCAAGCUUAAGGUAUUCAGUACCGGAGGCGCAGCGAAAGCGAGUCUGAAAAGGGCGCAUGAAGUUCGUUGCCAUAGACCCGAAACCGGGUGACCUACGCAUGAGCAGGUUGAAGUGGGGGUGAAACCCCAUGGAGGACCGAACCGACCCCCGUUGCAAUGGUGGCGGAUGACUUGUGUGUAGCGGUGAAAUUCCAAUCGAACUCGGAGAUAGCUGGUUCUCCCCGAAAUAGCUUUAGGGCUAGCGUUGUGUUAGAUUACCGGAGGUAAAGCACUGAAUGGUUUAGGGGCUGAUAAAGUUACCGACGCCUAUCAAACUCUGAAUGCCGGAUAAUUGAUGCACAGCAGUCAGACAGUGUGAGAUAAGUUUCAUUGUCAAAAGGGAAACAGCCCAGACCUACAGCUAAGGUCCCAAAUGUAUGCUAAGUGGAAAACGAUGUGGAAUUGCGAAAACAACCAGGAUGUUGGCUCAGAAGCAGCCACACAUUAAAAGAGUGCGUAAUAGCUCACUGGUCGAGUGACUCUGCGCGGAAAAUGUAACGGGGCUAAGCAUACAACCGAAGCUUAGGAUUGUCAAAAGACAGUGGUAGGGGAGCGUUCUGUACGGGGCGAAGUCGCAGCGGGAGCAGCGGUGGACUGUACAGAAGUGAGAAUGCCGGAAUGAGUAGCGAGAAUUAUGUGGGAAUCAUAAUGGCCGAAAAUCUAAGGUUUCUUGGGGAAGGUUCGUCCGCCCAAGGUAAGCCGGGAGCUAAGGCGAGGCCGCAAGGCGUAGUCGAUGCACAUACGGUAGAAAUUCCGUAGCCACCGAACCUUAAACCGGAAGGACACUUUCAGAUAGCAGAACCCAGCCGUUGGUAGAGCUGGGCGAAAGGGACUGAAAUAUAGUAGGGAAGUCUGCGAUGCUGAGAGGCGAGAAAAGCUCCGGUGUAUGCUAAGGUGCCCGUACCGCAAACCGACACAGGUAGAUGAGGAGAGAAUCCUAAGGCCAACGGGAGAAGGGUUGUUAAGGAACUCGGCAAAUUGACCCCGUAACUUCGGAAGAAGGGGAGCCCCGAAAGGGGCCGCAGUGAAUAGGCCCAAGCAACUGUUUACCAAAAACACAGGUUUAUGCUAAAUCGAAAGAUGACGUAUAUGAGCUGACGCCUGCCCGGUGCCGGAAGGUUAAGAGGAGAUGUGAGCCGCAAGGUGAAGCAUUGAAUUGAAGCCCCGGUAAACGGCGGCCGUAACUAUAACGGUCCUAAGGUAGCGAAAUUCCUUGUCAGGUAA